rnacentral:rRNA from 1 species
AUACGUAGGGGGCGAGCGUUGUCCGGAAUGAUUGGGCGUAAAGGGCGCGUAGGUGACCCGGUAAGUCUGGAGUGAAAGUCCUGUUUUUAAGAUGGGAAUUGCUUUGGAUACUGUCGGGCUUGAGUGCAGGAGAGGUAAGUGGAAUUCCCAGUGUAGCGGUGAAAUGCGUAGAGAUUGGGAGGAACACCAGUGGCGAAGGCGACUUACUGGACUGUAACUGACGCUGAGGCGCGAAAGUGUGGGGAGCAAACAGGAUUAGAUACCCUGGUAGUCCACACUGUAAACGAUGAAUGCUAGGUGUAGGGGGUAUCGACCCCUUCUGUGCCGCAGUCAACACAAUAAGCAUUCCGCCUGGGGAGUACGGCCGCAAGGUUGAAACUCAAAGGAAUUGGCGGGG